rnacentral:rRNA from 1 species
GACGAACGCUGGCGGCGUGCUUAACACAUGCAAGUCGAACGGAAAGGCCCUGCUUUUGUGGGGUGCUCGAGUGGCGAACGGGUGAGUAACACGUGAGUAACCUGCCCUUGACUUUGGGAUAACUUCAGGAAACUGGGGCUAAUACCGGAUAGGAGCUCCUGCUGCAUGGUGGGGGUUGGAAAGUUUCGGCGGUUGGGGAUGGACUCGCGGCUUAUCAGCUUGUUGGUGGGGUAGUGGCUUACCAAGGCUUUGACGGGUAGCCGGCCUGAGAGGGUGACCGGCCACAUUGGGACUGAGAUACGGCCCAGACUCCUACGGGCGGCCGCAGUGGGGACUCUUGCCCCAUGGGCGGAAGCCUGAUGCAGCAACGCCGCGUGCGGGAUGACGGCCUUCGGGUUGUAAACCGCUUUCGCCUGUGACGAAGCGUGAGUGACGGUAAUGGGUAAAGAAGCACCGGCUCACUACGUG